UGCUUAAAUGUUGUUAACAAUUGUCUUCAAGGCUAGAUUUUAGCCCUAUAUUUUGACGAGUACGAAGGUGGGAGUAAAAUGUUUCAAUAAUCAUCAAACUUAGCACAAUGUCAUGAUGUGGUCACUGAACUUUCAUUUGCUGCUCAACGGUCACUGAACUUACAAACACGCCACUCCAUCCAUCACCCACUGCCCCAGUCGUUUGAACCCGUCUCAUGUGGCUUGACGGCAGGCGACGUGGCUGUCAACGGCGUCAAGCUCGGCCAUGGUGGACGCGAUUUCACAGCCAAAACACGAUCCUCUUCACCAUUUCCCAAUCCAUAAGUCUCUCGUCCCUAAUUCGAACACCCAGCCCUAGAUCGAUUUCCUUCAAAAUCCUCCCCCAAAUCGAUUCUUCCACACUUGGUGAAAUGGUAGAUCUUCAUCACCUUCACAAUUACAUUGGACGUAGGUCGUCUCGUCAUCCUCGUCUUCCUCGCAACCACAUACUGAUUGUGCGUACGAACCCACAUACUGGCAGGUGAAAGUUUUCAAAAUGCAAAAGAGGUGAAGAGGGUAAACUGGUCUCAUCCAGAGGUAAGGGACCUGCUUCGACCCAAAACCCAGUUGAAGAAUAGCCCAUGCAAUUCAUGCCUACCCUGAUGGUUGGAAGAUCCAUGCACAGGCAGAAGACAAAAAUGAAGAAAAUGAUCGCAUUUGACUGCCAUUAUUAAAACUUUUGGUGGACUGAUUUUGUAAACAUCAAUGUGGAUAUGGGAUUUAAAGUGUAUUGUAGUUUUUGUUUUGUGAACAAGGAUGUUAACUUUUUGCUGUUACAACAGUAUAUAAUUCUUUGCAGUUUUUUAAGUUUUUCAGUGGAAGAUGCACACUUACAUGUCACGGCUUUAUCUUAGAAUCGUAUAUAAUUCUUAUGUAGCUUUAUUUGUAAUAACGCUUAUGUAGCUUUCUUAUUUAAUGGCAAGUGAUGGUUUUAUAUCUA